AAAACCAAUCUAUUUACACAAAACACCACACCACAAUCGGCUUACUAUGCCCACACAAAACCACAAGCAGGCUCCAAAACAUGCACAAUACCCUUCCCUGGCCCUUUUGUCCUCUGGUAUCCCACUUAUGGAGACACCAGAGACACAUCACAAUCAAACACAGCGCAAGCAUGUUAAUAAAUGUACUUGCGCUGCUCAGAAC